UACGAAGGGUGCAAACGUUGCUCGGAAUCAUUGGGCGUAAAGCGCACGCAGGCGGCCUCAUAAGUCGGAUGUGAAAUCCCUCGGCUCAACCGAGGAAGUGCAUCCGAAACUGCGAGGCUCGAGUAUGGAAGAGGGUCGCAGAAUUCCCGGUGUAGAGGUGAAAUUCGUAGACAUCGGGAGGAAUACCAGUGGCGAAGGCGGCGACCUGGGCCAAUACUGACGCUGAGGUGCGAAAGCGUGGGGAGCAAACAGG
rnacentral:rRNA from 1 species